AGUUUGGUAACACUCCGUUACACUCAGCUGCUGAAGAUGGACAUCUUCCCAUAGUCCAAUUGUUACUUGAAAGAAAAGAUAUAGAUCCAAAUAAAUUAAAUGAGAUAGGUGAUAAUGCCUUACACUUAGCUGCUAGAUAUGGACAGUCCGAUGUAGUGCAAUGUUUACUAAAAAAAAACAGAUUUAGAUCUAAAUUAAGGAAAGAGGGUACGUACUUUAUUUGUUAUCAGGAUUGUCUAUACAGAAAAGAUACAGAGUCUAUGAUUGCAUCAGGCGACCCCAAAUCGAAUUUGAUAUCAACAAAUUCAACUUUAAGGACAGCGAGUUCAAUGGGACACUGUGAACUAAAAGAUACACAUGUAACAGGACUGCCUAUAGACGACAGAGAACAAAUAUUGUUUUAUUAAAUCACAGAAAAUGCCAUAUAUGGAAAGAUUUUCUAAAAACAUUCUCCUUACUUAUCCAUCAAAUUCCAUCUGAUUGUCAAUUCUCCAUCAAGUUUCCAUGCAUUUUACAUGUAAUGGAAAAUAUUCCAUUGGUUUUCCAUUUUAUGGAAAAUGUUCCAUCAGUUUUCCAUCUGAUAGCAAAAUUACUAUCAGUUUUUCAUCAGAUGGCAAAAAUACUAUCAAUUAUCUAUCAGAUGGAAAUUAUGCCAUCAAUUUUCCAUCAUCAUGAACACAAAUUCCAUCAAACAAUUUCCAUCAACCAUUUUCCAGCAUUGAUGGAAAGUUGAUGGAAAGAUGUUCCAAUAUUCCAUCAACAUGAUGGAAUUUGAUGGCAUUUUUUCCAUCACAAAAUUCCAUCAUGUUUGAUGGAAAAUCUAGGGAAGGGUUAUGCAUAUUUAUCCUUCAAUGAUUCACAUUUUAUACAAAAUUACUUAUCUAAAGGCAUUUAUAAUGACUGAUAACAAUUGAUGUUGCAUUAUUUCUGAUAUAAAAGAAGAAAUAUUUGUAUUUUUAAGCAAUGCAAACAUUAUAUUUAGAAUCUUUUCCCUUAAAUUCAACAUAUUUUAUGAAAUACAACAAAUCCUGAACCAUAAAAACUACGAAAAGCCAUAGGCGUUCAAUAAUUUCCAUUAAAAAAGAGAAAUUAUUGAAUUCUUAUUUAAAAAAAACAAAAGUUUAUGUAUAUUUAUCCUUAAAUUAUUCAUAUCUAAUAUAAAAGUACUUAUCUGAA